rnacentral:rRNA from 1 species
UGACGCGCUACCAUGCAGUCGAGCGGAUGAAGGGAGCUUGCUCCUGGAUUCAGCGGCGGACGGGUGAGUAAUGCCUAGGAAUCUGCCUGGUAGUGGGGGAUAACGUCCGGAAACGGGCGCUAAUACCGCAUACGUCCUGAGGGAGAAAGUGGGGGAUCUUCGGACCUCACGCUAUCAGAUGAGCCUAGGUCGGAUUAGCUAGUUGGUGGGGUAAAGGCCUACCAAGGCGACGAUCCGUAACUGGUCUGAGAGGAUGAUCAGUCACACUGGAACUGAGACACGGUCCAGACUCCUACGGGAGGCAGCAGUGGGGAAUAUUGGACAAUGGGCGAAAGCCUGAUCCAGCCAUGCCGCGUGUGUGAAGAAGGUCUUCGGAUUGUAAAGCACUUUAAGUUGGGAGGAAGGGCAGUAAGUUAAUACCUUGCUGUUUUGACGUUACCAACAGAAUAAGCACCGGCUAACUUCGUGCCAGCAGCCGCGGUAAUACGAAGGGUGCAAGCGUUAAUCGGAAUUACUGGGCGUAAAGCGCGCGUAGGUGGUUCAGCAAGUUGGAUGUGAAAUCCCCGGGCUCAACCUGGGAACUGCAUCCAAAACUACUGAGCUAGAGUACGGUAGAGGGUGGUGGAAUUUCCUGUGUAGCGGUGAAAUGCGUAGAUAUAGGAAGGAACACCAGUGGCGAAGGCGACCACCUGGACUGAUACUGACACUGAGGUGCGAAAGCGUGGGGAGCAAACAGGAUUAGAUACCCUGGUAGUCCACGCCGUAAACGAUGUCGACUAGCCGUUGGGAUCCUUGAGAUCUUAGUGGCGCAGCUAACGCGAUAAGUCGACCGCCUGGGGAGUACGGCCGCAAGGUUAAAACUCAAAUGAAUUGACGGGGGCCCGCACAAGCGGUGGAACAUGUGGUUUAAUUCGAAGCAACGCGAAAACCUUACCUGGCCUUGACUGC